ACUGCUAUUGAGAAAAGCCGGGACUUCUGAGGUUGGCAUUCGGUACUCCUAGGCCAUUUUAUCGAAAACAACCUCGGAUGUAUGCCGGUACAUCAGUUGAAAUAAUUCGUAAUUUUUGAAUAAUAUCAUUAAUUAAAUGUAGUGUUUAAGAGUUGUAUUCAUUGCUCUCAGUUUAAAUUGAUUGCCAGUGAAGUGUAUUCUUGCAAACAUAAUUAAGAUUCCCAAGAGUUAAGUGAUAAAGUUUAACAACUAAUUAAGAUUUCUACGCGAUCUAUUUGCAGCGGACUUAAACGUACCACUUUUUGAGCAUGUAAACCGUCCAAAUACAUCCGAGGUUGUUUUCGAUAAAAUGGCCGAGGUGUUCCGAAUGCUGAGGUUGAGACUCUUAGAAUAGCUCGUUACUGCCGGGAUCGCUGAUAGAAAAUCAAAGUACUGAAAGUGCUGAGGGACGGUGCCUCUGGUGUAUGUGCAGAAAAAUAAACAGGGAGAGCAGCCUGAUUUCAAAAUCGUCGUUGUUAUCAACUAUUGACAGUUUGGUUAUUUCAAGAGCCAACUUGCAUGACUAUUUCUUAUGAAUGCAUGUUAAGCAAGCGAUCACUUCGUACGAAGUUGCAUACGAAGAUUUCUGCGACCGUUUUAUUAACGCUUUCGUACGUAAUUACUCUUCAAAAUGGGGAAGUAUCGGACGAAAAUGUAAACAAACCGUAGAUGCAAUCUUUUGAAAGAAAAGCUCAGUCAUCUGAGAUGCGGUGUUGCAGCACUGAAGAGCAUUGGGUGCCCAUCAUAGAGUGUUUCUGUUUGCCUGCAAUCAGGAUACAUCAACUGACCUUUGAACUGUGUUUUCCAACUUGGGAUUCAAACACAUGCCCUCUUGGGUAGGAGAAAGUCAGACAAACACCUGUGGCUAUAUCACUAUACUUCUUCAAGUCUUGCUCUAUGAGUAAUCAUAAUGUGAAAUAAAACAAAAUGCAAUCAUCUUUUUGUUAUAUUAAAUAAGUUAUGAACAAAUAAAA